CCUCCAAAUUGUCCAUUGACCUCCACAGACGUCUGUAGCCACAAAUUCCACAGAUUCAUCACCCUCUGACUAAAGAAAUUCCUCCUCAUCUUAAGGUACUUCCUUUUAUUCUGAGGCUAAGGCCUUAGGCC